rnacentral:rRNA from 1 species
GCAUAUCAAUAAGCGGAGGAAAAGAAAAUAACAAUGAUUCCCCUAGUAAAUGCGAGUGAAGAGGGACAAGCUCAAAUUUUAAAUCUAUCGGGUUUUACCUGAUCGAGUUGUAAUUUGAAGAAGCGUUUUCUGCGUAUUUGGUCAGCCUAAGUCCUAUUGAAUGAGGCAUCAUGGAGGGUGAUAAUCCCGUCCGGUUGAUCAGAUUCGCUUUACGAUACGCUUUCUAAGAGUCAAGUUGUUUGGGAUUGCAGCUUAAAAUGGGAGGUAAAUUUCUCCUAAGGCUAAAUAACGGCGAGAGACCGAUAGCGAACAAGUACCGUGAGGGAAAGAUGAAAAGAACUUUGAAAAGAGAGUUAAACAGUACGUGAAAUUGUUGAAAGGGAAACGAUUGAAGCCAGUCGUACCUUCGGGUAAUCAGCCUUUCGGGUGCGAUUCUGUGGAGUCUGAGGAGCUUUAACACCUACAUGCUUUGCAUUUUCGUGCUCUUGGGUGUACUUGCCCGUGUGGUUGGUUAACAUCAAUUUCGGGCACCAUAAAAUGGCUGGAGGAAUGUAGCUUCGAUCUUGUAUUGAAGUGUUAUAGCCUUCGGUAGAUGUGGUGAUCGAGAUUGAGGAUUGCAACAGAUACCUUUCGGGGCUACCUGUCUGAUCUCUGAUCGUUGCUUUGGUGCUGAAAGCAGUGCUUAUAGUUAUCAAAGUCGAUGGUUAAUGGGUUAGAACGGGUUAAAUUCGUUAAGGAUGUUGACGUAAUGGCUUUAAACGAC